GAUGAACGCUAGCUACAGGCUUAACACAUGCAAGUCGAGGGGCAGCGGGAUUGAAGCUUGCUUCAAUUGCCGGCGACCGGCGCACGGGUGAGUAACGCGUAUCCAACCUUCCGUACACUCAGGGAUAGCCUUUCGAAAGAAAGAUUAAUACCUGAUGGUAUCUUAAGCACACAUGUAAUUAAGAUUAAAGAUUUAUCGGUGUACGAUGGGAUGCGUUCCAUUAGGUAGUAGGCGGGGUAACGGCCCACCUAGCCAACGAUGGAUAGGGGUUCUGAGAGGAAGGUCCCCCACAUUGGAACUGAGACACGGUCCAAACUCCUACGGGAGGCAGCAGUGAGGAAUAUUGGUCAAUGGACGAGAGUCUGAACCAGCCAAGUAGCGUGAAGGAUGAAGGUCCUACGGAUUGUAAACUUCUUUAUAUAAGAAUAAAGUAGCAGUAUGUAUACUGUUUUGUAUGUAUUAUAUGAAUAAGAUCGGCUAACUCCGUGCCAGCAG
rnacentral:rRNA from 1 species